AUUGAACGCUGGCGGCAGGCCUAACACAUGCAAGUCGAGCGGAUGAAGGGAGCUUGCUCCUGGAUUCAGCGGCGGACGGGUGAGUAAUGCCUAGGAAUCUGCCUGGUAGUGGGGGAUAACGUCCGGAAACGGGCGCUAAUACCGCAUACGUCCUGAGGGAGAAAGUGGGGGUUCUUCGGACCUCACGCUAUCAGAUGAGCCUAGGUCGGAUUAGCUAGUUGGUGGGGUAAAGGCCUACCAAGGCGACGAUCCGUAACUGGUCUGAGAGGAUGAUCAGUCACACUGGAACUGAGACAAGGUCCAGACUCCUACGGGAGGCAGCAGUGGGGAAUAUUGGAAAAUGAGCGAAAGCCUGAUCCAGCCAUGCCGCGUGUGUGAAGAAGGUCUUCGGAUUGUAAAGCACUUUAAGUUGGGAGGAAGGGCAGUAAGUUAAUACCUUGCUGUUUUGACGUUACCAAAAGAAUAAGCACCGGCUAACUUCGUG
rnacentral:rRNA from 1 species